AAGACUAUAGACCUGCGGAGUACCUGCGGAAGGAUCAUUACACAAUACAAUAUGAAGGCUGUCCGCAGCUGGAGUAUUUUAUUACCCUUGUCUUUUGCGCACUUGUUGUUUCCUGGGCGGGUUCGCUCGCCACCAGGACCACCAAAUAAACCUUUUUUAUGCAGUUGCAAUCAGCGUCAGUACAAACAAUGUAAAUCAUUUACAACUUUCAACAACGGAUCUCUAGAUCGGAAGAGCACA
rnacentral:misc_RNA from 1 species